CCUACGGGUGGCAGCAGUGAGGAAUAUUGGUCAAUGGACGAGAGUCUGAACCAGCCAAGUAGCGUGAAGGAUGACUGCCCUAUGGGUUGUAAACUUCUUUUAUAAAGGAAUAAAACGAGGCACGUGUGCCUUUUUGCAUGUACUUUAUGAAUAAGGAUCGGCUAACUCCGUUCCAGCAGCCGCGGUAAUACGGAGGAUCCGAGCGUUAUCCGGAUUUAUUGGGUUUAAAGGGAGCGUAGAUGGGUUGUUAAGUCAGUUGUGAAAGUUUGCGGCUCAACCGUAAAAUUGCAAUUGAUACUGGCAGUCGUGAGUACAGUUGAGGUAGGCGGAAUUCGUGGUGUAGCGGUGAAAUGCUUAGAUAUCACGAAGAACCCCGAUUGCGAAGGCAGCUUACUAAACUGUGACUGACAUUGAUGCUCGAAAGUGUGGGUAUCAAACAGGAUUAGAUACCCUCGUAGUC
rnacentral:rRNA from 1 species